rnacentral:lncRNA from 1 species
CAGCAGCCCACGCCGCGGAACUCGCAGGGCAGACCCGGACUUGAGCACGCUAACAAUCGUUAGGAAGAGCGUCGCCCUCCACGCCUUCUGAGCAGCUCCAGUUUCGUAGCGCCCUCGUGUGUCUGGAGGAAGAAACGUCCUGGAUUUGAGUUUGACAGUGGUACUAGGGCACAGGGAGAAGGAAGUCGGGUCAGGCAUUGGAACUUUUUACAGGUGCCAGGAAUGAAUGUGAGAACUCAAGAUGCUUUCUUGAUGCUUUCUUGAUUCUCAGAGGAGACUCAAUGGCGGCGCGUGAAAGGAUCCAGAAGAAACCACAAGCAGUCGAAAUCCAAGGCACCUGUCUUCUCCAAAAGUUGUUGAAGUCACUUCCAUGUCUGCAUGCCCACCAGCUAUGGUUGUGUAUAGCCAUGUGAAUUAACUAUUGGAGAAUUAUCAUCUAUUUUGACUUUGGAAACUAUUGAUACGGUCUAAGGGUUUUGGAAUGAUAUAGUCUAGGAGUCUUGGUCAGGUUUGUUGUUUCUGCCAGCCGAAGAAUUAAAAGGCAGGAAAAAUCUGAAGACCAGCAUGGAGCAGCAGAGAAAUCUUAAGCAUCGUGGACAGAAUUAGGAGUAGAAGGAAGGUGAGUGAGAAGGAAACCAAUGCAGAGCUACAGGCAGAGACACUGAAGUGACGCACUUCAAACCAAGGGACUCCAGGGGCUACUAGAAGCUGUGUCAAGGAAGAACCUUCCUUCAGGGACUUAGUCUCAGUCUUGCUGACAUGGGGACCUUGCACUUCUGCUUCCAGAGCCAUGACAGGAUGCAUUCUGACGUUUUAAGCCAUCCACCUUGAUUAUGGAAGUCCGAGAAAGUUAUUA